GGGCCGUUAGCUCAGUUGGUUAGAGCAGCGGACUCAUAAUCCGUUGGUCGAGUGUUCAAGCCACUCACGGCCUA
rnacentral:tRNA from 1 species